GCAACACAAACAAGGGAAUUUGGAGCCCUAUAAGGAUGAAAACCAGGAUUUAAGACACAGAUAGGAUCUACAACAGUUAAACAGUCAUCACUUUGGAGAACUUUCAGUUUUGGCACUGAACAAUAACUUGAAGGGAAUACUCCAACAACAGAAAUGGCUGAAUAAAAUGGAGCACACAAGUGCUGCUGAAUGACAUGUUUUUUAAUUAGGCUUGCAAUGCGUUCACUCUACAUAGUAACUCACAAUUGCUGCCAAAAAUAUUUAUUUCAAUCAUGGAAAGACCCAUACUCCACUGUACAGAUCAGAUUUGCAGCAAAUAUUCCAAGUGUGUCUGUACCCUAAGAGUACACAGCAAUAAUGCAACUGUCAAAGAAGAUAAAAC